rnacentral:misc_RNA from 1 species
UCAGCUGAUCCAACCACUGCUUCUCAGCUAGUUGCCAAACAACCAGCUUUUUUUACUGGAUCAGAGGUUAGGAUAAUUGAUGAUGAUAUUCCUUUGGCACAAUUUGCGGUUGCUUUUGAAGGAGCAUCCUGGACAGAUCCAGAUUCUAUUGCUCUAAUGGUCAUGCAAGCUAUGCUGGGCUCAUGGAAUAAAAAUACUGGAGGUGGAAAACACAUGGGUUCUGAGCUUGCACAAAGGGU